CCGAGUUUACAACUCCCAAACCCCUGUGAACAUACCUAUACGUUGCCUCGGCGGAUCAGCCCGCGCCCCGUAAAACGGGACGGCCCGCCGCAGGAACCCACUAAACUCUGAUUUUAGUGGAACUUCUGAGUUAUAAAAAACAAAUAAAUCA
rnacentral:misc_RNA from 1 species